UUUGUUGAUUUUGAAAUCAAGCAGAAUUUGCAAUUGGUAUGGACACUGAAAUUUUUAUUUCGCUUCUUUAUUUAGCUGCAGUGGAAAAUUUCAGUGAUAAAAGUUUCUGCUCAAAGCGAAGCAAUGAUCACAGGCGCACGAGGUCGUCAUGGAGUGUUUUGCCAUGGAUUGUGUUCAACGCUCACAGCAACUUUCCUCAUUUGAAAUUGCUACCGAAAGAGUUCGAGGAUGUGAAACAAAUGUUCAACUGAUUCAUCAAGGGAUAGAUUUUGAGUGACUUCAUCCAGCUGAAUGUGAAGUGUUCCCAUUUGGUAUACCAUACAGUUCGACCUGACCUGGAACACGAUCGACGAUAAGGUGGCCGCGACUCGGCUCGAAAAACUUAAACCCGAACUGUCCGAUCUGUGCUCGGUGAUCAAGAUGUUCCCCUGCCCGACGCUGAAGCAUCGGCUCUGUCAGAACGAAAUCACCCAGCUGUUGGCAUAUCUGAUUCGGUCAUUCUUCGUCCAGGAUCCGCGUAUUAAUAGCCGUGCAUUGAUGCUCGAUGAAUUGCGGCUGAGUGUGUUCUGAACAAGGAUCUGCGGAAGCAGCAAUGAGAUAGUAUUUGAAGAAAAAGUAUGAUGUAAUUUGAAUCGCAAAGAUAAUGCAAUGGUGAAAUAAAAAAAAACACUCUAGAAUGAUUUUUUGCAAAUUUCAAGAUAAUUACAGGAAGAAAACACAUAAUACAUAUAAAUAAGUAGUUCCCCUAGCUUGUUACGGAAUGUUAUUAUUAUUGGUUCAUAAGAUUGUACACUUUUAUCUAACCGUGUUCUCGAGGCUGUUGAAAAAAUAUGUGGCAACAGAGCGUGUGGAAUAAAUCAUACACAGUAAC